UUGCGGUAAUCUUCUUUCAGCAUCGAUGAAAGAUUGAGUUAUUGGACAAGGCAACAGCGGUUGCAUGUCAUGUUUUUCCAAGAUUUUCUUACAAGCUGCAGACUGGGAGACUCGUGGGCCCUGGGAGCAUGGGAACCUCGAACAGAAAACAGCGCUUGCAGGGGGCUUCCCAAAGUACACUUCAUUUAUCAAUCGAGGCCCCGACACAUGCCGGUGGGGGAACCGGGGGUGAAGAUGGGGUGCGCAGUGCGAUCGGGGUGACCCGGCUGACACCGUAGAGAAAGAAGCGAAUGACACCCCCCACCGCCCCCCGCAGAAUGGCGGUCGCCAUUCCAGGGGGCCGACGGCGAGGGAAAUCCCAAACCAUCUUUGGCGAACAGCGCCGUGCAGAGCACAAGUCGCAGUCUGUAUGUUUACAUUUGGAAAGCAUCGGAUGACUGCACGGCGCUUUUGUGUUGGCUUGGUGAGUUCUUCUCGACUUGAGGGUUUUAAAAUAAUAUUAUGUUUGUGCAGUGGUCAAUACGUCAAUACGCUUCAGCGCAAUAAACGGCGACAAUCAAUUUCAAAUGCAAGCAAAUUGAGUUGUGAGGUGGUGACCCAACGGAUUAAAUUCGUAACUCAAGGUACUGUUUUCUUAGCCUCUUUUGCUAAUCCUCAAUUUGUGUCUAUUUUGGGGUGUAACUAUUGGGGCGACACGAGAGCGUGUGAAUGGCGGUCAUCUCAUCCCAACCUGCCCGGGGACUCCAGGGAGAGUUAGGAGGGCGCUUAAGUGAGAAGCAAGGUCACGGUGACAGUUGUCGGCCCCUCACGCGUACCAUUUGGACAGAAAGUGAUACGGCGGACAGCUGAGGCCGCUUGGCUCUCUCGCAAAGGGGUUCAUUCGGAGCAUCUUUACAUUCACUUUGCUCGGGCACCGCUUGUAAUGAACGUGGAACAGGAGGGCGAGUGGAAAUCUCAGCAUCUGUGCCAAUUUACACAAACCCCCCCGGCCCUCCCCCCCCUCCUGUCUCCGACACACGCCGAUUU